CCUACGGGGUGCAGCAGUGAGGAAUAUUGGUCAAUGGGCGCGAGCCUGAACCAGCCAAGUCGCGUGAGGGAGGACGGCCCUACGGGUUGUAAACCUCUUUUGCCGGGGAGCAACGGCCGUCACGUGUGGCGCCACUGAGAGUACCCGGAGAAAACGCAUCGGCUAACUCCGUGCCAGCAGCCGCGGUAAUACGGAGGAUGCGAGCGUUAUCCGGAUUUAUUGGGUUUAAAGGGUGCGUAGGCGGAUCGUUAAGUCAGUGGUCAAAUUGAGGGGCUCAACCCCUUCCCGCCAUUGAAACUGGCGUUCUUGAGUGAAAGAGAAGUAUGCGGAAUGCGUGGUGUAGCGGUGAAAUGCAUAGAGAUCACGCAGAACGCCGAUUGCGAAGGCAGCAUGCCGGCUUCCGACUGACGCUGAAGCACGAAAGCGUGGGGAUCGAACAGGAUUAGAUACCCCUGUAGUC
rnacentral:rRNA from 1 species